AGGCCGUGCUUGGGUGUGGGCAGCAGCGAGGCCGUGACCACGGCUGCCGGCCCCGCCCUCGUUUUCCUUACUGUUAACAGGGGUGCUGGUUCCAGGCAGGGAUGCACACGGGUCACCAGCAGUGACUUCCUGCUCCUCUAGGCCACCACAGCCCACUUCAGGUCUUUGAAUUAUCCGGGUGGCCUUCCAGCCACCUUAUUUGGGAUGUUAGGCCAAGUGGUCGCCAGGGGUUGUUGAGUCCUGACCCUCUGCCUCACGAGUGCAGAUGUGACCCAUCAGGUAGACGAGACCCCGGUGACAAUACUCUCCAGAACUUGUCUCUAAGCUGGGUGUGAGAGACAGCUCUUCUGAGGAGUGGCUUGAAGGAUCCCCUGUAUUAACAAGUGGAGCACUUCUCCACAGUGAGCAUUGUCCUCGCCCAGUGAACUGGAGCUCAGAUCUUCUUGACAUGACAAUUUUCCUGAGAUGUGGGGGGGGCUGUGAUGCAAAUUCCCACGUUUGUUGCUCCUUAGCAGUUUCAGAUAGUCUGUACCAGCAGCCUUCCUCCCAUGGGACAAGUGUGAUUUGAUGCAGAAUGACACUGUAGUUGUUUCCAUGGACUCCAUUCUACCCCUCUGUAGCUUCACAGAUGCCUAGGGAAUGACCCCAGAAGGCCCUGAGUGGUCUAACUCCAUCAGCCUGUGGUGUUUCCUUUCCUCAAUGCCUGACUUCAGAUGACCCAUUUGAAGCAAAGCCCAGGACUUUGGAGGAUGAUCCAAGGCAAAGAACUGCCUUCUGGGUGAGCUGCAUGAGUUUGGAUGAAAAUACAGCACAAUCUGGACAAAUGAUCUGGUCAGCCCAUAAUUCAGUCCCAAGUUACUGGCUUAAUGUUUAAACUGAUUUGCACUGAAUUUUUCUGCUACUCAUUGCCAGAAGCACCCUAACCAACCUGCAUAGAGGACUCCUUUCUCCUAACGUGGAAAACAGAACUGAAGUAGCCUAAUUCGAUGAAAAGACUCAAAGUCCAUGUGUGCAGCAACCAUGUUUGUGUUGUCCACUGCCAUUCCCAGGGCUGACUGGAGAGGCUGCAGAUAGGAGUCACUCAGUACCCAUCUGCAGAAUGAAUGAAUAAAUGAUCAGAAAUGAAUAAAUGAUUAGAAAACAA